AUUUUGACAGGGGUGGGUGGACGGGCCAGUAUGAGGAGUGUUUGUGACAUCAUAAGGGGACCUUGGAAAAGUGGCAUGUCAGCUCUUUCAGACCCACUAGUGCUAUACUUCUUAAGUGUUCUGUCUCCAGGGCCGCCAUCAGGGGUGACAACCAUAACGGUUGUCAAGGGCUCGGUGGUCCUGGGGGCGUCUCGGGCCCCACAUUUCCUCUCUGCAUAUAUAUAGCGAUGAUUGCUAUAUAUAUGUGCAGCUGUGGGCUCCAUGUACUUGCAGGGUGCCCAGCACACUGCAUCUGUACAUUACAGCUCCCCGCGCUCAUUAACUCUUGCGAGACGCGGCCGUCAGAGCGUUGCCACGGAUUACCAUGGCAAUGCUCUGCGCGGCACACAGGCCACGCUUGCGAG